UAGGCACGGGGCGGCACCUUCAACAAUGACUAUCGGUAACACGGAGGCCUCCGUGCUACCAAGUUGUUUUCAAUGGUGCGGCUUUCAAAUUAAUGAUCGGUUCCGUUAGACUUGAUCUACACUAUUGAAAAUAUUUGGAAACUAAAUUUCAUAAUUUUUCAAAGUCAUUUACCUAUCAAACGAGUAGUGUAAAAAUAAACGGCUGAAAAUAAAAAUAUCAUAAAAAAUAAUGAUAAAAGACUCGAAUUUAAGAUCAGAGGUACUGAUCUUACUCUAAAUAGUGAAAAGAAUUUUCUAUAAAAAUUCCAUCAGAUUUGGAUUGUUUUACACCGUUAAAUUCACAAACGCAUCAAAUCUACCAUUAAAAUUGUUAAUUUUGAGACCUUUUGAUCACUAGCCAAAUGAUGUCGAAAAAUUAUGAAAUUUAGUUUCCAAAUACUUUCAAUAGUGUAUAUCAAGUCUAACGGAGCCGAUCAUCGAUUUGAAAGUCGUAUCAUUGAAAAUAACUUGGUAGCACGGAGGCCUCCGUGCUACCGAUAGUAUACCAGCCUAGCUCUUUUCGACAUCAUUGACCUAAUGAUCAAAGGGUUUCAAAAUUUGUAAUUCUAAUGGCCGAUAUGAGGCAUUUUCUCGUUUAACGGUGUAAAGCUAUCCAAAUCAAUUGAAUUUUUGUUAGAAAAUUAAACUAUUUAGAACAAGAUCUAUACUCUCGAUCUUGAUUAUAAAAUUUCUAUCAUCACUUUUUAGAAGAUAUUUAUUUUCAGCCGAUUAUUUUUACGCCAACUUGAUGAACAAGAGAACAAUAUCGAAAAAGCAUAAAAUUUGAUUUCUAGAUAUUUCAAGUGGUAUAGAUCAUGUUCAACGGUGCCGAUCGUCGAUUUAAAGGCUCCAUCAUCGAAAACAAAUGAGUGGCAACGGAGCCCGUUUGCUACCUAUAGCAUUCUAGUUCAACUAUAUAUAUAUAUAUUAUUCAGCUACUGUGAUUUUAAAAGUACCAAGUUAUUAGUGCUUGUAGAUUUUUAGCCAUUCGAUUAAGGGAUAUGCGGUUAGGAUGAUGUGGGCCCUAGGGUUUAGUGAGUGGUUGGUUGAAUAGUAUAAUCUAAUGGUUGAAAAUGAUCCUAUGAGUAGAUCUAACGGUAAAAAACUUACAAGCAGUAAGUGCUUGGUGCUUUUACAAGCACCAUAGUUGGACUAUAUAUAUAUAUAUAUAUAUAUAACUAGGCUGUAAUACUGUUAAUAGCACUAAUGACUUGGUGCUAUUAAGUUUUUCACCAUUGGAUUAAAAGAUGUGCGGUUAGGAUGAUGUAGGCCCCCUAGGGCUGAGUGGGUGGUUGAAUAGUAUAAUCUAACGGAUAAAAAUAAUCAAAGGGGUUAAUCUAACGGCAGAAAACUUGAUAGCACCAAGUGCUUGGUGCUAUCGAUAGCAUAGCAACCGGACUCUCUCUCUCUCUCUCUCUCUCUCUCUCUCUCUCUCUCUCUCUCUCUCUAUAUAUAUAUAUAUAUAUAGUACUAAUAUAUAUAUAUAUAUAGAAUUAUGCUACUAUACUAUCAAUAGUACCAAGCCCUUGGUACUAUUGAGUUUUCGACCGUUGGAUGAAAAGAUGUGCGGUUAGGAUUAUAGUGGUCCCCGGUUAAAUUGAUAGUGGUCCCCUAGGGUUGAGUGGGUGGUUGGUUUAAUAGUAUAAUCUAACGGGUGAAAAUGAUCAAAUGGUAGAUCUAAUGGUAGAAAAUUCAAUAGUACCAAGGGCUUGGUACUAUCGACAGUAUAGUAGCCGGACUCUAUAUAUAUAUAGUUUUGUUAGAAUACUAUCGGUAGUAAACGGCUCAGUUUACUACCAAUUUAUUUUCGAUGAUAGAGCUUCCAAAUUGAUGAUUGGCACCGUUAAACAUGAUCUAAACUAUUUAAACUAUCUGAAAAUCAAAUUUCACACAUUUUCGAUAUUGUUCUUUUGUCCAUCAAGUGAACAGAAAAAUGAAUGACUGGAAAUGAAUAUCCUUCAAAAAGUGAUGAUUUGAAUUUUAGAAGUACCAAUCCCUUUGUGCUUCUAAGUUUCUAACCCUUAGAUCUACUCCGCAAUUACUAAUACCCCUUGGAUCAAAUACUAUUUCACUUACCAUCACCUACCACCAUCAUCUCAACCCUACUUCUCUCCAUCCAAUGGCUAAAAACUCAAAAGCACCGAAAAGAGAGUACUGUUUAUUGUGUGGUAUGAUGAUUGGUGUUUGUCUGGAAUGUGACAAAGUCUAUAGUAUCAUAUUUACACCACAUUAUCGGUAACAAAAUAAUUAUUUAAAUAAUUAUUUUUUUUGAGAGAAAGAUAUAAUUAAAAUAUUUUGUUUAUUAAUCAUGAUGAAACUACUGAACCCAAGGGAGACAAUUUAUUAGUUGGGAAUGUCACGUCGGCAAUAUAAUUGAUACAUUCUAGAUUUUUUUCCUGGAAUGUUUACUCCGCUCGGCCAAAAGACGUAGGUACCGGUGCUCACCAUUUAAAAAAGGAAAAGAUUUAGAGGGUGUUUGGUUUUCUAAAAAAAAAUUAUUUUAAUAAAUAAUUUUUAAUCUGUAAAAUUAUUUUUUAUUCUUUUGAUAUUUUUAAAAAUAAUUUUUCUGAAAUGUUUUGUUUCGGUCUUUAUGAAAAACUAUAAUAUUUCUUUUUUUCAACUUUAUUUAUCCCAAAAGAAUAAAAACUAUGAAAAAAAAAUUUCAUAAAAAUUUUUCAUAGUUUUUUUAAAUUAAUAGUCUUUGUGU
rnacentral:lncRNA from 1 species